rnacentral:rRNA from 1 species
GGGGGUAGUGGCCUACNNGNCGACGACGGGUAGCUCGGCCUGAGAGGGCGACCGGCCACACUGGGACUGAGACACGGCCCAGACUCCUACGGGAGGCAGCAGUGGGGAAUAUUGCGCAAUGGGCGAAAGCCUGACGCAGCGACGCCGCGUGGGGGAUGACGGCCUUCGGGUUGUAAACCUCUUUCAGCAGGGACGAAGUUGACGUGUACCUGCAGAAGAAGCGCCGGCUAACUACGUGCCAGCAGCCGCGGUAAUACGUAGGGCGCAAGCGUUGUCCGGAAUUAUUGGGCGUAAAGAGCUCGUAGGUGGCUGGUCGCGUCUGCCGUGAAAGCCCGCAGCUUAACUGCGGGUCUGCGGUGGAUACGGGCCGGCUAGAGGUAGGUAGGGGCAAGUGGAAUUCCUGGUGUAGCGGUGAAAUGCGCAGAUAUCAGGAGGAACACCGGUGGCGAAGGCGGCUUGCUGGGCCUUACCUGACGCUGAGGAGCGAAAGCGUGGGGAGCGAACAGGAUUAGAUACCCUGGUAGUCCACGCUGUAAACGUUGGGCGCUAGGUGUGGGGAUCUUCCACGAUCUCCGUGCCGGAGCUAACGCAUUAAGCGCCCCGCCUGGGGAGUACNGCCGCAAGGCUAAAACUNAAAGGAAUUGACGGGGGCCCGCACAANCGGCGNAGCAUGUUGCUUAAUUNNACGCANCGCNAANAACCUUACCAAGGUUUGACAUCACCCGGAAACGUGCANAGAUGUG